AGUUUGUUUCAAUAUUGACAGUUGAUAGUUGUAAACUACACAUCUUUUUUUUGUUUUGUUUUUUUGCAGUUGUUUCAAUGAUGGUUAUGGGAGUGAGUGCUUGGCAACAACAGUGGAACUGCUGAAGAAGAUAUGCAAUGGAGGUCGAUCCUCAAAAUUCACAGCCAUCCCUGUAGACUGCGUGAGCUUGUUAGUCUCAGUAUCAAACUUUUCCCAGUCCAAGACAUGUGAUGAGGGAGAAGACAAUAUCCGCUCAAAGAAUCUGAGGCUGCUGUCCGAGUCAAUCGACAUCGUCAGAUCCUGGAUCAGUACGACCUUCAAAGACAAGUUGCGCGAAACCUCAGAGAUCAAGGUGAGAGAAUUACUCAACUUUUUAAUUGCACAGAUUAUGAACCAAGCAUUUUUUCAAUAAGAAGCUACAUUGCUAAUGCGGUAACAGUUCACUUGCGUGCAGCUGUGUCACAUCGCAUGUAAUAAUAUCAUUAAAAAAUAUAUAUAUAUAUAUAUAUUAUAAACUGGGUGGUUCGAGCCCUGAAUGCUGAUUGGCUGUCAGCCGUGGUAUAUCAGACCAUAUACCACGGGUAUGACAAAACAUUGUAUGCAUGUAUGAGCCUUUCUAAUAUUGUCUUAUAAUAAGGAUUUACGUCUCUCUUUGUGGUAACAUUUCAACUGACUCAAAACAGCUGCUAUUUAGUCAGGAAUUAUCUUAUAAGACAUUAGAAAGGGGUCAUACAUGCUAAAUAAAUUAUAUCAUUAAAUAAAUAGUUACUGUAUUAAUAAGUUCAUGUCAGAUUCGUUAAUGCCGUAUGUUGUCGCAUGGCAGUUUUUUAAAAUUACAUUUAAAAAUAAUUAUUGUACGUUGAUUUGUUAACCACAUGCUCUCCUUAUUAACCACAUGCUCUCCUUAUUAACCACAUGCUCUCCUUAUUAACCACAUGCUCUCCUUAUUAACCACAUGCUCUCCUUAUUAACCACAUGCUCUCCUUAUUAACCACAUGCUCUCCUU
rnacentral:lncRNA from 1 species